UCCUACCUGAAUAAACGCUUGGAGGUCAGGAGGACAGCAGUGGUGUCGUCUAGGAGUGCAGUGGUGUUGUUUAGGGGUGCAGUGGUGUUAUCUACGGGUGCAGUGGUGUCGUCUAGGGGUGCAGUGGUGUUGUCUAGGGUGCAAGUGGUGUUAUCUACGGUGCAGUGGUGUCGUCUAGGGUGUGCAGUGGUGUUGUCUAGGGGUGCAGUGGUGUUAUCUACGGGUGCAGUGGUGUCGUCUAGGGGUGCCGUGUGUCGUCUAGGGGUGCCAGUGGUGUAUUACGGGAAGGUGAUACGUGCGUGCAGUGGUGUAUUACGGGUGCAGGUUCGGUGCAGUGGUGUGUCUAGGGGUGCAGUGGUGUCGCCUAUGGGUGCAGUGGGUAUCUACGGGUGCAGUGUGUUGUCUGGGUCUCUGAUAUCACUUAUUAAUGAUAUCUACAAAGCGCAUUGAUGUGAAUCACACUGCUGCCCUCUCAUUUAGUUAUUUGCGCCGUAGGAUUGUGGGUUGUUGUGGAUUCUUUUCACCAAUGUAUUUUAACCAAUUACAGUGAAUAAUUGAAGGUUUAAGCUGCCUAUUAAUCAUGUUUUUGCUACCAACAAUGAAUAAAAGUGCUCUUGCAACAGCUGCAAAGUCUGGGUGGAUCCCAGCCUGUGGAAUAAACAGUCUGAGGGAUCCCGCCUGUGGAAUAACAGUCUUAGGUGG
rnacentral:lncRNA from 1 species